UGGGGGAUAUUGCACAAUGGGGGAAACCCUGAUGCAGCAACGCCGCGUGAAGGAAGAAGGUCUUCGGAUUGUAAACUUUUGUCCUUGGUGAAGAUAAUGACGGUAGCCAAGGAGGAAGCUCCGGCUAACUACGUGCC
rnacentral:rRNA from 1 species